GCCUAAAGCGUCCGUAGCCUGUUCUAUAAGUUUCCGGUUAAAUCCAUUAGCUCAACUAAUGGGCCGCCGAAAAUACUGUGGAACUAGGGAGUGGGAGAGGUAGACGGUAUUCGGUAGGAAGGGGUAAAAUCCUUUGAUCUAUCGAGGACCACCUGUGGCGAAGGCGGUCUACCAGAACACGUUCAACGGUGAGGGAUGAAAGCUGGGGGAGCAAACCGGAUUAGAUACCCGGGUAGUCCCAGCUGUAAACGAUGCAGACUCGGUGAUGCGCUGGCUUGUGGCCAGUGCAGUGCCGCAGGGAAGCCGUUAAGUUUGCCGCCUGGGAAGUACGUACGCAAGUAUGAAACUUAAAGGAAUUGGCGGGGGAGCACCACAAGGGGUGAAGCCUGCGGUUCAAUUGGAGUCAACGCCAGAAAUCUUACCCGAAGAGACAGCAGAAUGAAGGUCAAGCUGGAGACUUUACCAGACAAGCUGAGAAGUGGUGCAUGGCCGUCGCCAGCUCGUGCCGUGAGAUGUCCUGUUAAGUCAGGUAACGAGCGAGAUCCCUGCCUCUAGUUGCCACCAUUACUCUCAGGAGUAGUGGGGCGAAUUAGCGGGACCGCCGCAGUUAAUGCGGAGGAAGGAAGGGGCCACGGCAGGUCAGUAUGCCCCGAA
rnacentral:rRNA from 1 species